CUAAUCUGUACCCUUUUUCAGUGCAACAGGAGAAGCUGAUUGUGAUACACAGCCAAAGACCUAAUUCAAACUCCGUUAUGCGCUGCUUAUGAUUUUAACCCUUCAGGCUGAAAUUCUCCAUGCCUGAUCUGGGUCUCGGGCUUGCUGUCUUCUGGGGAAAGCUGCAGGUGGGGGUGAGUCAGCCAUUUCCCAGACGGCAACGUGGACGGAAUGCAUUGUUUUGUCAGUGUUAGGCAACAAAACAGCCUUUCCCAGCCCUGUGAUUGAAAAAUUCGAAGUCUCUGGGGUCACAAAUGAGCCUUAACGACGCUCCCUGGGGUGGGGAGUGGAGGGUCUUUCCGGUCUGCCCCUGUGACCCGGAGCCGCGGCUUCAGCUCUGCCGCCUCAUUUCUCUCCCGUUCUGCCUGGAGGUUUGUCCUGCUGGCAGGAGGUCGGCUGCACGGAGCUGCCUCUCCGGUUGUGUCCUCAGGGCCUGGCUCGUCCCUUAACGCGUCUGAGGACGCCGAGGGAGCCCCUCACCCUUCUUCUCGUGCUGCUCAGAAGAAACUACAGGCAAGAAGACUCCAGUAAAGACAAGGCACAUAGUCACAAAUAAAGGAAGACUUCAACAGUAACAGCAAAAUUAAAGUUCUGUGCCCUCAUGGUGGCUCCUUUUUGGCUGGUGUCCUCACUAACAAAUCAGACUUCUCUUGGCUGUAAAAGCUCCUGGGGGCUUGCAUGAACACUUGGCUGUUUUGGAGGGAAGUGUUACUUCGUUAUGUAGAAGAUGACAACAUCGCUUCAGAUCUGGAUGUAGACGGCCUUGGAGUUGUUGACAGUUGAAUCAAAAGACUAUCUGGCCUGGAGAAGCUGGAGGCUUGGUUUCCAGAAAGAAGAGUUGGUGCUGAGAGGUGGGUUCCAGGGAGAAAAUGAGGCCCAAAGAGAACAUGAAGAUCCUGACUGAAGGACAGGUCUGGGAAGUGAGGGAAGAUUCUGGAGGUGAGGUAAAUGCAUGGAGACCAAUGACAGGAGAUGCCCAGCACCAAAUAAUCGUGCCUGAGACCAGAAACUGCAAGCAGAAUCGUAGCAGAAUCCAGCAGGAGUUUCUGCCCAACCUGCUCUAGCCAACGACCUGCCUGCAGGGAAAUCAAGACCUUGGGAACAUCAUGGGGAAGCUGUAACAGCCGUAGAGAAUAAGCAUAGAAAAAAACAAACCCUGCUGAAGUUUUUGCAGAGGUGAUAUUCUUUGUUUUCCCAAGGAUUCUGGAUGAACCUUAAGGCGAGCUAUGAGAUGGAGAAGGAAGCAGAGAGGGGGAAGUGCUGCUGUUAAUUUGGCAUUCAUCUUAAGGAGCUGAAUGGCAGCCAGAAGUAGUGCAGAUGGCAUCUCAAUUCCCUCUUCUUUUGAAGAAAAUGUAUUUUUAAUACAGUAACUUUUUGUUUCCAUUAAGACAUUUUUAGCUGUGGAAUAAGGACAGUUAAAGGCAGUAGUUAAACCACCAGCUUUUAGAUGACAUUUCUGAAAGCAGUUUAUUUCCCAGAGUGAUAGAUGUAUGAAACAUAUGGUUUCUUCAAAGCCACAACCAAGGAGCUGGAUAGUAAGGAUGCAGGGGGUUAGUUGGCAGACACCCUAGGAAGGAAGCGAAAGGACACAGAACUGGUGAUAGUGUUGCUUUUGCAUAUGGGUAUGGUGGUGACAGGAGGAUUUGUCUGUAUUAAAUUGUAUUUUACACUGUUCUCAUCAAAUCCAAACUCUAAGCUUGUCCAGAUAAACUGCGUUCCAGACACCUGCUCAGCUUUCUGACACCUGAUUAAAUGCAUAUCUGACUGCCAUCAGGACUGCAAAUCAGCAUGAGGUGAAAGCAUACCAUGCUUUAGGUGUGGUAUAUUAUAAACUAUUGACUCUUUCAGUAAGGGAUCUUUCGGAGAGUAAUUUUUUCAUGAACCUAUUUGUGAAACGUUCUUGUAGGUGAACUCCAAAGCAAAGAUAAAAUUUGAACUAAAAUACACAGACCUAACAAGCUGCCAUGUGCAUUUGCCCAUCAAUAAGGUAAUGCUCAUAUUUUGGUAAUUCAUUGUAUCUCUACUGUGAUCUUCAGACUUCCUAAUAUACUGAAAACAUUCCCAUAGGGCAUGAUUGGCACUGCCAUAGUACAACUCAUGAUUGAUAGCAGUAUGAAUCAGGAAGUGCCACCUGAAAGACUUUAUAAGGGAAGCUAUUUCUUGAAAUCAAUAGUUAAUGUUUUGUUGUUAUUUAUUAGUGUAUUUCAACAACUAAAGAAUCUAGACCUUGAUUUUGGCAGAAAAGCAUUAAGUUGAUAUUAGAACCAUUGCUUCUGCUUCCUCUUGAGAGACAAAAUUCUGAGAUUUCACCAUUAAAUAAGUGAAAGAAUGACUAAAAGGACAUGACAACUGAAAAGGUUAGUUAUUCAAACAUUUUAUUCCCCAAACUAUUAAAUAAAUAACUAGAUAAAUAAAGGAAAGUAUUUGAUAAUGGAGAAGGUUUAUUACUCAAACAUCUUUCCAGAUCUAUCUGUGACCUCUAAAAUUAGGAACCUAUAACUGGUGCUGCUACCUGCAGUGGGUCCUACCCUGGCCUGCUGGCCUAUCCCUUGUACGUGCCUGGCUGCUGCAGGUGCCACUGGGGCAGGACGGGGCUGCCCAUCAGGGGGCACCAGCAUGGCUGCUGCCAGCAUGGCUGCUGCAAGAGAUAAGGUGAGGAGGGCCCGAGGAGCUGCUGCUCUGCUGCCUGUGGGUGCCGGGGAAGCUCCUGCUGUGCAGGGCUGGUUAUAAACCUGGGUCCCGUGUGAGGUGGAGGAGGAGAAGUGGCAGCCGAGGUCUGGCUGCUGCUUGGUGGCAGCAGGGAAGGGUCCAGAGGCUGGCAUGUUUCCCUCUGUGCUGCUGCAGUAGGGACUGGCAGGGCUGAAGCAGCACUGCUUUGGGUCGUGGCUUUCUGAGGGUGCUUGAGUGGUGGGGGCCCCACAGUUGCUGCUGUCUCUGUGCCUUCUUCCUUUGGCACUGCCAGCAGGCUCCUACCUUGCCCAACAGCUGCUCCCUGCAUGGGCUGGGCACCUGGUCUGCUCCUCAGGUGGCUCUCAUUUAGGUCUCCCUGCAGGGCAGAGGCAGUCACCUCUCAUCUCCUUAGGGCAACUCCUUGUUGGCAGUGUUCAGGCAGCUGUGGAUCAUCGCUCUUGAAACAUGGGUGAGAGUAGAAGAGUGACUGAAAAAUGCAAAGGAGGAGAGUUAGUUGCUGUCUGUUUGGAACUGAAAGACAGCAAAAUACAGGAAGUAAGACUUAAUAGCUGAAGGCAAAUAUGGGUAGUAAAAAGGUCUAUUGGUCAGAUUAAUCCCAGAGCUUAGGUUAAGUCAAACAAGAUAUGUUGCAAAUAUAUUGUAAUAAAUAGACUCAUCAUAUCCUGAUUUAUCUUUCUUUUCCGUGGGUUCAAAUUGGGAUAUAACUCAAAUCUAUUUUAUCUAUAUUUCUACUAUUCAGCAAUGCAACCUCUAAAAUACCCAGAAGCAGUCAGAGAAAGAUACAAAGAUCAGAACACUGACUGACGUCCUCCUCUCAUUACCAAAGCUUAUUUUCUUGGAACUUUCAUCCUAUCCACUAGAAUCUUGUGAGAGUUGGUUUAUGUGUGAAGCAACUGAUGUACCUUCCUGUGAGCAGCAAAUGCUUCUUCCUCUGCCAGAAACUCAGGAAUGGACAGAGAGAUCUUGUGCAGUCACAGUGUAUUUUGGUGAAUCUUUACAGAUUAAGUUUGUGCAUGAAGAUUUUCAUGUUUUCAGUCUGAAAAACUCUCACAGGUCCUUUCCUUCCCAGUACUUGGAGCUUAAACAUGUCUUAAUCAAUGACAACGCAGUUUCCACUGUGAUCCCACCAAAUCAUCUUAAAUUGGUCACUUUCAAUUGAUCGCCAGUGUUUCUGUGAAAAGCUGAGGGCUGGGAUUCUGGCUUUGCUCUCCUCAGAAGAAAUGAGAGGGAAACAUUUGGUUUCCUCUUCAUCAGAAAAAGUUUGUGAAUCCUUUUCUUUCUUUAUCCAUGCUAGAGCAGCAUCCCACAUUGUUCCCUGUUUACCCUGUCCUGGAGGAUAAGGAGAAGGAGAGUCUGAGGACUCAGCCAGUUUCUCUGGCUCAGAAGACGUUUCUGAUUCAGGUGGCUCAAUUUUAAUUUUUCUUGUCUCAGUUUGACCAAAGCUUUCAAGUAGAAGCAUUUCUGUGGUGAGCCAGUCUUCAUCCUGCCAGUCAGCAAGCGAAGUCUAACAGAACUGUCGGGGGGUUCCACUGGGAGAUGGUCAAACAUCACUGUGACGCCCAUGUGUCAUCACAGUGACAUCGCUGUGUGGCACCCAGGGCUUGGCUGGCUGGAGCAGCCAGAGCAGAUGUCACUGACCAGCACUUGUUGGUCCUGCACGGAGCCACAGGUGUUUAAAUGUGAGUAGAGAAGCAAAGAGAGCUGUAUUUAAAGGGGUUCACCUGUCACCUAGACCUUGCUUCCCCUUCCCUGUGUGGUCCCUGAAUAGCUCCCUUCUUGCAUUCUUGGUGUCAUCCCUCUGGUUCUCCAUAUGGGGCUGAGGGGGAAUCAGUUUCCCAAGCAGCAUUUACAAAAGAAAAUAGCAAUCUCUUCCCAGUUUGUAACCAAUUCUUGAAAAUGCUCCAUGGUUUCAGUAGCAUGGCUUCUGCAGGGCCCUAGCUAUGUGUCCAGGUGGUGCUCUACAAUGUCAGCAGUCUCUCAGAGGCUGCUCUGUUGGCCCAACUAGGAGAAGACAGUAAGUACGUUUUGCUGAUAGUAUAAACAAUCCCUCUUUGGUUCCUAUGCUUUUAUUUGAUAUUUUAUGAAUUUAGAAAGCAAGCUAAUGGAAUUGGUGAUGUUCUGUAAGCCUUUCAAAUCACACUCUACAGGAGCAAGGGCUUCAUCUGUCAAGGAAAGAUUUGGACUAGAGGUGGUGUCUGUAUGCAGGGCUUGAGUGUAUGCUAAGUCUGAGGACACCAGUAAAUCAGAGGAGCUGUUGACUCCCUCAAGGGCAGAGAGGCCUUGCAGGGAGAUCUCGACAUAUGUGAGUGCUGGACAGUCACCAAGUGCAUGAAGUUGAACAAGAGCAAGUGCCAAAUUCUGCCCCCGAGUGGGGCAGCUCAGGAUGUAUGUACAAACUAGGGGAGCUGCCACACAGAAAAGGUUCUGGGGGUUCUCGCUGUCGGCAAGUUGAAUCUGAAUCAGCAUUGUGCCGUGACAGCCCAAAGGGCCAACUGUACCUGGGCAUGGUGCAUCAGGUCCAUGCUGACAGCCAGGCAAGGGAAGGGGCUGUCCCACUGUGCUUUGUGCUGUACAGCCUCACCUCCAGCACUGGGUGCUGGUUUGGGCAGCGCAAUCUAAGAAGGACAUAAAAAUGUUCGAGAACUUCCAAAGGAUGGCUGUGAAGAUGCGGAAUGGUCUAGAAGUCAAGGUGCAUGUGGAACAGUUGUGGUCCCUUGGUUUGCUCAGCCCAGAGCAGAGGAGCUGAGGGGAGGCCUCAUGGCAGCUGCAGCUCCUCAUAGUGAGCAGAGGGGCGGCACUGAGCUCUGCUCUGUGUGACAGCGACAGGGCCUGAGGGAACAGCAUGGAGCUGUGUCAGAGGAGGGUCAAGUGGGGGGUUUGGGGAAGGUUCAGAGGGCAGUGGGCAUGAAACAGGCUUCCCAUGGCAGUGGUCACGGCCCCAUGUUGCUGGAGUUCCCAGGAGCAUUUGUAUAGUGCUCUCAAACACAGGGUUUGGGUGGUGCUUUGUGGAGGCAGGAGUUGGACUCUGAUCUUUGUGGGUCCAUUCUAACUCAGGAUAUUCAAUGAAUCUUAAUUGUGGUUGCAGCUUGCAAGUAGCAGCCUCCUGCUUGAGAGUUGUGGAGUUUGGUUUCAGACUUUCACCUUUGCACAUGCACUCAGCUACCCAUUGUCAGUGAUCAUAAUUUCAGCAGCUUUUUCAGUGACUGCAGGUGUCUGGCUUUUCCCUGCACACCAUACAAGAGCAGACACCACAAAGGACAGAACCUCACAUUUGAAGGCACAGUUACUUCUUUCUUAUUAAUUCAUUUAGUAUUUUGCAUAGGGAGGAAGACGUGUUUGAGGUGGAGGUAGAGUGCUAUUAAGUGAUGUAUUAUUCUUGCUGAGGUAGUCUGAGUCUGUGUUGAAGAGGAAAUGUAGUUAUAAUGUAUUUGUUUUAUGAAGCUAGUUUUCAGCAUAGUGUUUUCCAAACUAUAGGUUGCAAGGCUAACACAAAGAAAAACGCUCACGUUAGUGUAUAACAUACAAACCUGACUAGCUGAGAUUUCAGCUUCUGUCUUCUUUUGCAAUGGUAGCAAUAGCUAAUACUCUCUUUUGAAUGCCUUAAAUCUCUUAUCCCUUUUGAAUAAAAAUUCACAAUGUGGUUUUUUUUGCUAAUUAAUUUGGAGAUAGGGUUGGGAAAAUAUUUUCAUGUGGCUGGGGAGAGCUACUGGUGUCUGCCACUGCUAAGGUGGGAGGCUUUUUCUUUCAUUCUUUUUAGGAAUGGGCUUAAGGCAGUUCAGAAGGGAGAGCGAAGCUCUGAAUUCUCUGAUGGAGCCUUGUUUUGCAGCCAGAUUGUUAUGACAGAAAAUGCCCUGCUCCAGCUCUCAUGUAGCUUUGUCUGGGCUUUGUGAUCAGCAUCAUCCCAAAGAAGCAAAACUGUUUAGGAAAUUUAUAGAUAGCAAUUUGGUCUCCAGUGUAGCAGAGGCUCAUCUGUUAAUUGCUUUGAAGAUUAAAGUCAAGACCUUGAACUGGCAUCUGAAACUGACUUUAGAGAUAAGCCCUAGCCGUGAACUUCUGUCAUCUCCUUUGCAAAGCCUUUGGUAUUUAGAGGAUAAUAGAUAAGCAGGAUAUCCAGGACAGCAUCUAACUGAUGUAAAGGAUUUGUUUUAUGGGAACCUAAAUUGUUUCAGGGCUAAAACCAGUCCUCUCUACGUCUGUUAUCCAGAGGUCUUUCCAGAGAAGAUGUAAACUAAGAAAGAGUGAAAGUAAGGCUAAGUAGACACACAGAAGUGACAGCAAGUCAAAUAUUGAUAAUAUCUGCCAUGUAUAUUGAUAAUAUCUGCCAUAAUGGACACUUUAGGUUGCUAAUUGAAUUUAUAUGUUCUUUAAAUUUAAGAUGAAUAAAAAGAAACAUUCCUCAAUAUGGUGUUGUUUUCUUUUUUUUGUCCUUUCCUUUUUGUUUUGUUUUUGAUGGAAGAAUGCUUUUUCUUUUUUGGUCUUCUGAUGCUCCAGUACCUUUCUUUCUCUUCUUCCUCACCACACAAACCCAACUUGGAUUAAAUUGCCAUUUUUUUGCUUAAUGAAGUGCAGCAUCGUAUUCUGAGGUUGUUUAAACAUUUUGUCAUAACUUUCUUUUUUCAAGGCAGUUUUCAUUGAGGGAUGUUUCUCUCUUUCUGUGUUAAGAAUGUUGUAGGAAAAUGCUUCUGGCAAGUUAAACAAUUUGUUCUGAGAUGCUUAGAUGUAACUGAAUUCCCUGGUAGUUUUAGUUCCAUCACUCAAUGUCAUUUUUCAUCAAAAGCAUCUCCAUAAGUCAAGUAUGAUACAAGCAAAUAGAGAUGUUUUCUCAGAGAUUACUCUGAGAUGAUCUUGAAUACAAUGUUUGAGAGCUCUCUGUUGAUGGCAUUUGUUUUUUUGGUGUUUGGGAGCAGUGCCUGAAGAAUAGCUGUUGCACGUGGCCAACUACAAGGACAAAACCACAGACGCUGCACGCACUGCAGAGCUUGUAGCACACUGCUAAAUGGAAAAAGCUUGUGAUGUGUAACCAGUAUGGUAACAGCAAUGCUGCUGCUGCUAAGAUUUCUUUUUCUCAGGGAGAUUAAAAAUAGCAGAUUUAAUUAGGAGAGGAUAAACAUCAGAGGGAAAGGAACAUAUGCCAUUGAACUUGAAGGAUGGGGAGCGGAGAAUUUAUCUGUAAUUGGUGGAAUCUAAAAUGGGAGUGAAUUGAAGGUGCUACAUGGCAGGUAACAGGAGGCAGUCUGAACAAACCACUGUCAGUGAGAAGUCUGAAAAUACAAAGAGCUCUUGUAUGUUGUUAAACCAAAGAAAAGACCUGCUGUACUUUGGUUUCUUCAGUUUCUAUCUGGUUUCUCGCUUUAUUUUCUGACUUUAGAUUGUCCUCAUUGAAGUUAUUCUUUCUUGUUAACAUAGUUGAGGUUGUUUAGUGAUACAGUUUACCUGCUGUUAUGGGCUUGGGUAAUACAGGUUGUCUUCUCAUGCUGCCUGGCCCAGAACAUGAAGCAGUGGUGUUAGCCAUCUUGGUGGGUGACUAAUGUAUCAGCAGCAUUUCUGAGCUCAGGAAAGCAGAGCCUAAGGAAAAAUACUUCAGGCAACUACAGUCCUUCUAAACUGCAGCAGAGAGAGAAGGAGAUGUGGGAACAGAUAUGGGGCCUCUGAGCUCUGUUUCAGGAGAUGGGAGGUAAGCCAUUUCUCCCCCUCUUUUUUUUUUUUUUUUUUUAUGAGGGAAAGAAGGGACAAGUAAGAAAAAGGACUUGCAUUCCAGUACUCAGCUGCAGUGGAGCUUGCAAAAAAAUGAUGCUGGGAUAGAUGAGUGUGCCCCUUCUGCUCAGUGAGCAAAACCCUUUCUUCUUUCUCUUAUCCCUCCCUGCCCCCCUCAUCUCCACUGUUUAUUGUGAUACAUAAAGUGGGUGGUGUUCUCCACCUUACCCCAGCCCUUCAGCUGGUGCUCUAUUUUGAGAAGGAAGGUGAUGAAAAGAGGAUACUAUGUUUUGGUUUGAAUUGCAGCCACUCUUACCAGCUCAAUUGUGGCUCUCCAACACAGGCGUGGUGCUUUCCUUCUCAGGUUUUUAUUGGAAGUAAAUAUACUACUCGUGUAGGUAACGGCUAUCCUAUGAUGUGUGAGCCAAGCACAAAAGGGAUUCUGGUAUAACCUCAGGGAGCUGCAGAUAACUUAAUUUUACUGUUUGUUGUCUUUGUAGCAGUGGCUGACUACCAAGCACUUGGGUAAAUUGUUUAUUUGAAGAGAAAUACAGGACAAGUCUGUAGAGCAUAGUAAUGCGUCUUUGCUCAGUUUUUUAUCAUAAGAGAAUCUUAAAAGUUAAGCUGUAGUAAUUACUGCUUGCAGGUAGCAGAGAUUUAUCGUUGCCCUUAUGCAGAGAUCUGCUGCCUGUGUUAAAAUGUUUCCUUCUGCAAAAGCAAUCUGAAAUCCCUGUUUUAUUGACAAAAGCAAUUUUCUUUAGCUGUAGAGGAAGAUGGAGAAGGGUAACUGCUGAUUUAUGUUCUGAACAAAUAUCCCAAUGUGAUGCAUACACGCAUGUGGAUUUCUUGGUUACUGUGCUAUUAAUAUUUACCUUAAUAUUUAUCUUAAAAACGUCUUUUUAAUGUAAGAAGCUUCCUCUGCAUAAAAAAAUAUUUCUUAUAUCUGAUCCCACGUCCCAAAAAGGCACCACAAAAAGCAUAGUUUUUUCUGUCUCUGUAUAGAAUUGAGACAGUAAUGAUCAUGAAUUUUACAGCUCAAAUGGUACCUUUCAUACUGUCACAAUAACCUCCUCAUACUGCUUGUAGAAGCAAGGCAUCCUAGGGCAAUUACGCAUAAAAUGAUAACGUUGCUAUGUUUCAAAUGUACAACAUGAAUAAGUAAGAUCAUUGCUGAUACUGUGACUAGCGUUCUGCAAAUAUGUCAAAUGCAAAUGGAGAUCUUUAGCAAACUUUGUUGUAUAAAUUGUAGCUGAUAAAGAAGAAGUUGAAAUGUUUUGAGACAGUGGCAUCUUUGAAGAAAAAUAAACAGCAUAAUCUUGUGUGUGUGGGAAUGGUGGAGAUGUGUGUCUGAAGUAGAUCUGUACUGUAUCAGUUCACAGAUGGUCCUAAUUCAGUCGAGACUUUAAAAAUCAGUUUUGAAAGUUGCAUCUUUAAGCUUCAGUACAUUUGUUCUUGUCUAACUUAAUUCACGCUGAAGGACCUGCAGGAGUGCGAUAAUCCUAAAUUUUCGUGGAGGGAAAACUCUUUGUGACUUGAAUUUUUUUUGAAGUUAUAAUGAGUACUCUUAUAUUUAAGAAUGAAAUUGAAAGCAUCAUCAGUUUCAUAGAAUCCUUGAGUAUCCUGAGUUGGAAGGGUCCACUCAAUAAUCAAACCAUUUUUCUGAGAACAUUGUCCAAACACUUCUUGAGAUGUGCUGAAAUGCCCAAAGAUACCAUCAUGCCAUUCAGAGAUAUGCACAAACUAGAAGGAAGUAUUUGCAAAAGGAAACACCUACCUUGCAAAAAAAAAAAAAAAGAAAAGAAAAAGGGAAGAGGAAAAAAAAAAAAAAAGAGAUUCUACCUCUACCAAAGCUCUUUUUUCAAUAUAUACUAGUAUGGAGAAUAGUUUAUUGGAAGAGGAGUCACAAAGCACGUGGGUCCUUUGUAGAGAGAAAUGGAGAAAUGUAUGCCUUGUGUCCGUAGGGAUAGGGUUCGAAAGUUAGGAGGAAAAUCCUCAAAUUAUACCGUCAAGUAACGGUGGGCUUGGAGUGCCAUAGAGUAUAUUUAGGCCCAUGGCUGGUGGCACACAUGAGGCUAGUUUUUAAAGGAUUUUAGUAUUGGUCAUCCAUAGCUUUGUGAUGUAUACGUCAGCAACUUAUUUCUAGUUUGAGCAAAACUGUGAUGCUAGGUAGACUUUUUGUGCGAUAGACUGUUGUCUUAUAUUCACACACUGAAGACUAUUGGACAAGGUCUUGAGAUGGUCUUUGCAUCUGCAGCUUACAUUGGUUUAGGAGAGAUCAGUAGGUAAUUCAGUAGCUUGGACUAUCAGCCUGUUGGAACUGAGCAGAUUUCCGUGAAUACCCUUUAAAAUCGUGUUUGAAGGCAGCUGCUAUUUAGAAGGCUUAAAAUACUUGUUAUAGAUAGCUUGUGACAUUCCCAUCCAUCUAGUCAGAGAUGAAGAUAAAUUAAGCAGUGUAAACAAAGCAGGAGCAUUCAAAAAGAAUUCAAUACUGUACUGAUUUCUCUUUUCUCUUCCAUUUACGUCUUCAGGCUGUAAGCCUCCUUAAAAAUGAGCAAAUCUUUAAAAAUCAAAUAAUUUUUAAACAGAAGAGAAAUAUUUUUGAUUUAAGAACUACUGCAAUAUACUGGGGGAGGGGGGUGAGAACAACAACUUUAUUCUGCCCUGAUUAUAGAGAAUUUCACAAUUACCCCAGCUAUAAACGCUCUAAAGAAUUAUUAUGACUCUUCACUUUGCACAAUAUUGGGCCAGUUUCUGCCAAUAUAAACUUAAAAAGAUUUUUAUCGAGUGAGGGCAAGUAGUGGAACCAAGCAUUAAGAUGAGAAGGUACAAAAGGGAGCAUCAAAGGCAAGAGAAGAGUUUUGAUGCUCUCAGAUGUCAGAAAUGCUGUCUCAGGGUAAGGCUUUAAAUGAAAUCUUGUUUGAAAAAGUGGACUAGAUUUAUCCAAGGGUCGCUUCAUGGCAUUUCUGAGUUGGUCAUAUUAGGCUGUCUUAUAGGAAUUGAUGAGAAAAUUGGACGGUAUCAAUUACUACUAGAGAGGAUCUUGAACAAUAUUUAAUUCACCAACUACCGUCAGAUGUUUAAAGAUCUAUGUAUUUACCUGUUUUGAUUUUCUGUAACGAUGCUCGCUGUUUCAGGCUAGUUCUUUAAGCAGUUGUUGAUGAUAGCUUCUUGAUUUUAGCCAUCAUCUUAUUUUGAAAUUUUGCUCAUCCGUAACUGAUUUCAGCUGAAACUGUGUUCUCUCCCCUGCCUUUCUGUUGUUGGCCUUAGAAUGCUUCACUGUGUGAUCAGAAUCGUGGGGGAUGAUCUUUGCAUCCUACUGAGUACUCUGAUGGGCUAUUUAAGAAUGACUUUGUGUUAAUUGUGUAUGGUAAACAAUAGUGGCUAUAUGUUUCUCUGUCGAAUAAUGUCAUUAAUGGUUUCAAAUUAGUUAUUGAGAAUGAUUUUUAAAUAUGAUUUGUGACCUCUCACGAGAGCAAGAACAAGGUGGAAAUGAACGUACACAGAUGAAAUAAUGGAGCAUUUUGAAUACCUAGAAGGGAACCUGAGAUCACAACUCUGCAGAGGAGUCCUCAGGAGGUUAACAGUACUGGGGCUGUAGUACUUAACUUCAAGUUAUAUCACAUUUUGUAAGUAUGACAGCAGAACACGAAGACUUCCUCUUUUCUAAAGUUUAGAUGUCUUGAUUUCCCAUCCCUUUGUUAAGUGCUUUGGUUUGGUUGGUAAGCAAGGAUUCUCCUGAAUUCCCUUCGCUUUGAAGUGGAGAAAACGCCUUCUAAAGAUCCCAAGAGAGACUGACUAGGUAUCUGAGAGAAAAGGAGGAGUUUUCAGCCAGCGUUUGGAGAUAGCAGCUAUACGCAGGAGAAUUCAGCAGGUGAGCAGAGAAGGAGUAGGCACUGAUGGAAUUGGUCCACUUCCUUGUUGUGUGAAUUGACAUAGUUAAUUAAAGGUCUGCCAUAUUUUUCCUUAGUGAUCCAGUAGACCUCAAGUUCAGCAAAUCUGUGGUUCUUUCUGAUUAUUUCACUCAGCUCUUGACUAGAGACCCUUGUCAUUCAACUCUGAUUGUCAUCUGCCCCCUUAAUGUAGCUGUGAGGCUUGCUUUUGUUUGCCUUGAUGGAUAUUGGUAUUAAUUCCUUGAAUAAAAACCUCUUUCAUAAAUGCAGAGACAAUAAUAACAAGAAAUUGUCACAGUAUAUCAGACUUACUUGUAUUUUCUAAAUGCAUUAAUAAAGAUGAAAAAGACCAAGUAUAAAUAUAAAACUGAGGUGGCUAUUCUUUUUCAAUUGGUAUGUAAAAUGGAAAAAAAAAAUAGGAAAUUUAUUAUUCAGCAAGUUUUAGUUGCUCUUUCUUGGGGGAAAUGGUCAACCAACCCCACAGGAGUCAAUUGUCAAAUAAAUUCAUAUGGGGGGUGGUGGGGACAACGGGGCAAGGAAAGAUUGCAGAGUUGAUAAUUUUUUUUAAGCUUUUUGCGCACAGCAUUCAGAAAUAGCCAAGCUUUCUUUGCCUGCUUUUACUGUAUAUUUCAUUUUCCCUUUCAUGAGGAAAAAAAAUAAAAGCACACUUCCAUGAAGCUACAUAGCUGGGUGGGAGCCUUCCCAGCAUACACCAUGAAGUACAUUUCAGUGUGCUUCAAGAGUCACACCUGCAUGGGCCAUGAUUCAGUAAUGACAAUCAUGAUACCUGUUCAAAGGUAUUCAUUUUAUCAAUAUCAAUCUAUUGAUACUGACAUCAACGCUAUUCAAAUUAUUCAUUUCAUUGUACUUCAAGGCAUCACCCUACCUAUCUUCCAUAAUAUAUUUGAAUUUUGUGUUAUAAUUAAACAGCAGUCAUGUAAAUGCAAUUAAGAGUGAGAAUGCAAAAUGCUUGAGGUUUAACUACUGUUUCUGUCCUUCAGUGCUGAUGUGCUCCCUAGCCUUUCUAUAAUUACCUCUAGUAGAUGCAUACUCUUGUUAUCACCUACUGGCCAGCAGAGAGAGCCUGUAGUGGGGACUUCAGCAUUGUUUUGUUUCAGUUGCUUGGUCUUCCCAGUGUCCUUUGGAGGUACCAUAUCAGCUCAGUAAAACGCAAAUGAUUCUUGCUCCUCACUUUUUUUUUUCCUCAUCUUCUAUCUUUACAGCAUAUUCUAAUUCUUUUCCACUGGCCUAGAAUCCCAACUUGAAUUUUCCAAGAGAAGGAACGUUUGUAUUGCUUCCCUUUUUAGAUGUCCAACGUGACAUACUUUAAAUGUUGGGUUUUUUUUUGGUAUCUUUGUUCUUUAAAUGAAGUGUAUGUAGCCUGUUCCUCCUUAGGCGCUUUAAACUCUAAUUGCCUUUGAAAAUGUAAGCUAAUGUGGAUUCUGCUUUCUGUUGCCUUUUCUACAUCUCCAAUUAUUUUUGGUGACAGUGUCUCCCAGUAUCACCUGUCCUUCCAUGUGAAGAUUUCCUGUUAUUGCUCGAGGUCUGAGAAUAAUUCUUUUGCUUGCUUUUUUCCCCCCAGCUUGCAUUUUUCCCCCCAACUUCCAGCACCACUAAUUGAAUUAUGAUUCCUCAAGAGAAUGUGUACGUGUUUUCUGUUUUAGUUCUAAGAGGGAUGAAUGAAGAUGCAAUUAGAAUGUCUAAGCUGUUUUUUCUCAAAAAAUGUAUCUGAAAUUCAUCUUAAGACAUUUUCCAACAUGUUUGAAAGUAUUAAACCUCUAUGAAAUGAAUCAUAAUUUAAAUGACAAAGGAGUAUCCUACACUUACCAAAACUUGAUUUCUAUCUUUUUAUUCUGUUUGAUUUGUGUUGUGGUUUAACCUGGCAAGCAUGUAAACACCACACAGCCUUUUGCUUACUUCUCUUUCCCAUCUCCCUGGGAGGAGGGGAAUUAAAUAACAGUAAUGAUAAUAAAAACAAUAUGUAUAUAUAAAAGGAGUGAUGCACAAAGCAUUGUGAUUAAUGUUAUGCAUGAUAUAUAGGUGUAUAUCACAUGAUUUUUAAAUAAAAGUCUAUUCCUGUAUAGCAUUUUCUUUUCUUAUACUUUUAAUUAUAAUAAUGGUCUUGUAUUUAGUAUCUGUCCAUAUUUGACCUGGAUGAACUCUUGUAACCUUCAUCUUGAGUUUGUCUCAAGUGCAAAUAUAUUCCUGCAUGUAUAAAAUCAGGAAUUGGGAAGAGUUCUUGGAUAGUCACAGCUAGGAGCACAAAUAGCAAGGCAAAGGAAUGAGCAGAAUGUCUUGUUCUGUAACUGUUUUGUGGGAGAAUUUGUGCAGCAUUUGUCCAAAGUGUCAGCCAUAUAUUGAAUAAUCUUUCAGCACCUAAGCAGUGAGGCAUGCAAAAGUGGGAGGAUGAAGUAGGGCUCUUUGCCUCUGUCUUCCUUGUCACUUCCAUUCCGAAACCCUGAAAGCUGGAGCCUAGAUUUUCUAUAGAGAGGAACGGCCACACUGAAGAACUGUGUGCUAUGAAACUUCCCUAGAGCCUCCUCUAGUUUUGUUUCCUUACCAAAGUUUCCAACAAACUUAGAGCUGUUGAGCUAUAGUCACUAAUAACCUGUCAUGUAAACCUGUUAUUUAUUCUCAUAUAUAUAUAUAUUAAAAAAUCCUAAAACCAACGGAACAUGACAACCUCUGUGUAAGAUCCUUAUUUAAUCUUUGGACUGCAAUAUUACAGCUGUUUCUUGAAGUCUCUUUUGUCUUCUAUUAAUAAUUUUUUUUUAUUACUGGUUUCUGAUUCUCAAAUUGACUUACGUUGAAUUGGGGAAACUUUUGAGUAUUGAUUUAAACAGGCUGAAAAAAAAAAGGGUAUUUCUCUGAGAAAUGAAAAGAAGAGGUAGUUGUUAAAUUAUGAAAUGGAGAAAUACAUCAAAAUAUCUCACCUCCCCUCCCCCAGGAAGUCUUUUAUCAACCUGGAAUUAUACGUAUGUUUUUUUUUUUCCUGUCCUCCUUUUAAUGAGGAAUGAAGUUUUAACUGAAAACGCUUAAAUGAUAAGCAGUGCUUCCAUACAGGGCUAAAUUCUUUAUUUAAAAAUGCUUCUUGUAUGAAAAGAGAUUUUGCUUGUUUGAGGGUGGGAGGUUAUUUCUAGAUUUGACAUUUUCCUGUGGAAAAAUGCAUUUGGACAAAAUGAACAUUGGCAGGCAGUCUGUUUGACAGCUCUGGGUACCACUCUUAAAUGACUAUGAAAGUGAUUUUAAAUAUAGGAAUAUCAAAUAGCUUGAAAGUCGGCUGAAGUUUCUUGUUUCUGGUAUGACUGCAUAAGGACUUAAUCCAGUGUAUAAUGCUCCUGAAAUGCAAUCCAUCUUCCCUCUCUGUGUGUCUGCACUGCUCACCAUCAGGACCUGUGCCUGAGUCUCCAUCAGGAACGCGGGACGCACUACAGCUAUGAGCAAACCACUUCAUCACAGUGGGGCCAGUUACACCCAAGUCAUGCUCGCUGUUCUCUGAAGCAUAAUUCUCUUGUAGCUGUUGUUUUUGCCCUGUUGUAGGAACAUACAGCCUUAGGAUUGGGUAGAUGCUUGAGGAGGGACGUGGCUUGGCUUUAGCAGUAAAUUAUGGCAAAAGGAGAACAGCAGCUAUGUAGCAGUGGCCGUGUGAUGUGCAGAUAAAGCAUAUGUUUUUCCACUGCAAUCCUGCUGUCUCUUACACGCUGCUCUCAUUAAGUGUAAUGAGGCUUAUCUAAAAGCCUUAAUAAUCUUUCGAUAUAUUAUUAAGCCCCAGUUAUUUGUGAACAAUGCCAGUGUAUAUGCUUGAGGUCAGCAUUGCAUGUGAGUGCUUUAAUUAGUGCAUCAUGUCCAGUUGUAUUCACUUACUGUUUUAAUUAGAAUGGUAAUUGAGAACUGAGUAUGUAUGUCUUGUCCUGCAUUUGUGAGCGCCUAAACCUAUUUGUUGUUGUAAUUACUCCUCGCCCUACAUCUCCUACCACCCCUUGUUUGUUUGCUAUUAAAUUAAGAAAAUGUAAAGAGAAGAAACAGUUACUGUGUAAAGGCUUAUUUUGCUUUGGUCAACCUAGAUUGCAGAGCAGUGUAAUUUAAUGAUCAUUGGAGAUGACUGUGAGAUGGAAUCUUGCCUGUAAUUCCUUGUCUGUGCCAUACUGGAUGUUUGGUUCUUAUUAGCCCUUGCAAAACCAGCAGAAAAGCAGGGAGAUGCACCUUUUGCAUCAUUCAAUUGCUUUGCAUGCUUUUUUUUGACACGUCAUCAUGUACUCUAAAUACCAGCUGUGAACUUAAUGGCAUUAACUGUAGUAUCUUGGAGAGUUUUGCCAAUGCCAGGUCAACCUGAACGUUCUGAGAAAGUGGAAUGGAAAAUAUAAAAGUAGUUUUUACUGAUGUCAGAUUUGCAAAUAGAUGCAACUCAACCCAUAGUUUGCGUUUAACAUUUGAACAUGUAAGAGCUUAUAAUAUUUUUUUGUUGCAGUGGAACAUCUGUUAAAUAAUCAGAGCUUGAAUUAAUAGGGAACUGAAAACAGUUAGCUGAAGGUUUCAAACUAAUUAGUAUAAUAAUAAUAAUAUUAAACUAGCCCUCCCAUAACCUAAAUUGCAGAGUUUUCAUGGUAAAAACACAUUAUUUUAAGGGACCUCAAAAUCUUCAUUUGGAGAAAUAGGAGUCAAGAGGAAAUGUUUUUGUAAAGUUCAAGAGAUUACAUUGAACUGACCAAGGAUUGACAAAUAAUUUAUAUCUAUCUGUCUAUGUUUUAAAUAGCUUUCCAUUUUGGGUUUUAGCUUUUUUGUCUCACAUCAGGUCAAAAAGUGGUGUUUUCACUCUUCGUAUCUGUACAGUGAAAUCUCCUUGGAAACAAAUACAGCAGUUUAAUUGAAGAAGGUUCAUUAUAACUGAAGUAAGUUGUUAAUGUUGUGGAUGAUAUUGAGAGACCAGCUUGCUUCCUUUGACUUCACUGCCUGCUAUGAGCACGUUUGUGCCUUCGUUCAGGUAAAAGGAUAUUUUGGAUGGGUUGUGGGGAUUUUGUUUGUUUGUUUGCUACUGGGGAAAUAUCAUGUGGCUGCUGAUCUGAAAGGGGACUGGUUUUUUCACAGAUUAGCGUGUAGAUGCUGGUUGAGAAUUCAGAAGCCCUGAGAGUUGAGGGUUUUUUGUGCGUGGGUGGAAGCAUGGGCAUGCUGACAGCCUCCAUUGCAGUUCUGAGAAUCUCGCUUUCUGAUAGGGCUCUCCUACCUGGAAACAAACUGUUCGUUGAGGAACUGAAUGAACAAAGUCAAAUUUCGUACAGAUUUCUCUUUAAGGCUGUCGUUGGAGUUUCUUAGAUCUAGCAGAAAUGGGACUUGUGGCUUUCCCACAGCUGGGCCUCUUGUAAUCUUGUGCAAAUUCUGUAGUGGGAAAUAAGUUGAGCUCACUCUUUGGUCUUUCCUUUGGCAAGGGCAGUGAUACUGUCUCAUUCAUCUGCUGGCUUGUUUUCAUAAAGUGAGUAGAAAUUCAGUAUCUUUGAGAGAAUUACAGCUUCAUUAAAAAUCGCGUAGGAGCAGAAAAUUGGUGGUGACAGAAGGAAAGAUUGCGUGUAUGUAUGUGCUAUAUGAUUAAUAAGCUUUGUUUUCUUAAGGGCUGGACUAGAAGUCUGUGUUAUGUUGGCAGUAAGAAGUAAUACAGCUCUUUCUUGAACUGCUGUAUUAAUGUCCUGUGUUUGAUUUGUCACCCUUGAGUCCUAGUGUAGUGUAGCUUAGUAAGAGAUGAGCUAAUCUUUUCAUAAUAGGGAUUGCAAGAUCCUAGUAGAAGUCUCCUUUUGGUUUUGGGCAUUUGAAAUACGUGGUUGUGUUUGUUUUACUUUGUUUGAUGAGUAAACCAUUCACAAAAUGUUUGGAAUGAAAGUUUCCAGCUACUCAGUGAAAUGUUAUGGCAGCUUUUGUGUUUUUUACAAAAAAGACUUUUAAGAAAUACUUGAACAUGGACAACUGUACUUCACGUGCUCCCUUUUUAUGCGUUGUCAUCAAAUUUCAUUCCUUCUCUGUUGUUCUCCCAGAUCUGCAGCUGUGUGUGGCAAGUUAGUGUUGUGCAAGUUUCUGGUCACUCUGCAAGCUCUGUUAUGAUGAGUUAGUUCACGUGGGCCACUGAACUGAUGGCCCUGUUGGGUUAUCCAACUUUGAAAUAUCUGCUGAGUCUCCACUGAGAACUUCUGACUAAUGUAGUUAGCUUGUUGGGAAAAACAAAACAAAACACAACAGUUUUGGCACCUUUAUUGAGAGUGCUGUGUUUAUUAAUAGUCUUCCCCUUGAGCUUUUUUGUUCCUGUAUUUUUCAUGGAUGGAUGCCUUGGGCACAUCUGUGCAGCAGUUACUCCUGCAUUAGCUGUCUUGCUUUACAAAGUCAUUACUACUUUAGUUAGCAUCUGAACAGGAAACACAGUGUUGGAAAGGGAGGAUGAUCAGGAUACUUUCAUAAGCUUUUCUACAAAGUUUGAUCAAUGUAAAACACCAUCCAUCGUUUGGGAUGUCACCUGCCAGGAACUUGGAGGCACCUUCCCAUCUCUUCAGCAAGGAUCUCUUCCUUUUUUAGUAGAGGUAGCUAAUCCUUCAUUAGUCUUUUAUUAGCCUUCUCUAUUAGCCUUCCAUAAGUAGAAGUGGCUCAAGACCAAGGCUGCUGCACCUGGCAGUGUUUCUGGCUUUGGUGACACCUCUCCUGCUAGCAGGCAGCCCACCCUAAGCAUGGACCAAUGCUGGCCCAUGGAGCAUCCUCUCAGCUGGAGCUUUUCCUCAGAGACAGAGCUGCUCGCUGUCCAGAGCUGUCAAUCUCCAUUCCUCAUGCACACGCAAGUUCAAAACAACCUUUAAAGCAGUAGAAAAUGAUAUUAAUUCCCUAGAGCACCUCCACGCACGUGCAUGCAUACACAGAGCUUUGCAUUUCUCACUGCCCUAGACCUAGACCCCCCCCAUAUGUGUUUACUGCCUGUCUCACUGACACCUCCUGUGUGAGUCAGCAGCCUGGGAGGGUAGGAAAUGGCAACCAUUUUUCAUGCUCCUGUUCAGAAAAGAAGCCUGCUUCUGUGACACUGAGAAUAAAGCUGCUUUCCCCAGCCCUUUCUAAAACAUACACGUUGCUCUCAGUGUGAUAUUUGCUUCUUAUUGGCACCAUUCAGUGUUUUGUUCCAGUGCCCUUCCAAUUAUUACUGUAUAUUAAUUUUGAUUAGACAGGAGGCUGCUUUGUGAGUCUUGACUUCCUGCCAGUACAAUCAAGUGUGAGCCAUGGGAAUGAAAAGCAAAUGUUACUUUCAAAACCUUGUGAAGAAUAUAUUACUUAUAAUUCAUAGUCAAUAUAUAUAAUUUUAAAAAGAAUAAAUAUGUCUUUGGUAGACCAGGAAUUGAGAUAAUGAAUCUACCCUACCCUAAAAGAGGCAAUAAAAACAGAUAUAAUAUCUGUGUAAACCAUCUUGUUUGUAUAUUUUCACCAUUCAACCUUUGUAUUCUUUUAAUUUUUAAUCGACUGUUCCUUUAAUAGAUCAACAGCUGCUGUAUGAAUUAGAAGAGUAGAACCAAUGUCAGAUAGAACAAAUAGGAAUGGUUUAAGUUCCUAUUCCAUGGCUAACCAGGCAUUUGAGGAGGAAUUUUUUCAAAGGAGUCCUGGAGCCUGUGCUGCUUAGAAUGAGUGACCCUCUGGUGUCAUCUACCAUUUUGUGAACAACGCACGUUUAACUGUCAGAGCUCACAAAAAAAAAAGGGAAUUACAGUACUUGCACACUGUUUUGGGGGAUGGAGUUUGCAUUUUUCUUCUUCUUUAUUUCUGUUGAAUUUUCCUUUUUCUUCUUUGCCUGUUUUUCUGACUGAAGCGCUUGUCCUUCCUCAUCCCCUUGUUCACCUCGCCCUCCUCUUUGGCUGGUGACUAUGGACUUGUCAUCCUACAUUACUUACUGUUGAGAGGAUAACUCCUGUGUCCCUGCUGCAUGGAGUUCAGUCAGCAGCAGGUGCUGGAAGAGCCAAGCAUGUCAAUAUUUCGUGCAUUUAAAAUCAAACACACUGAGUCACAUAUGGUUGCUCCAAGGAGUGCUGUAUGUAAGUCUGCUUUCUUUAAGUAGGUGUGCUAAACUGCUCUUACUAAUGUACCACCAGACUGACUAGAUUAAUG
rnacentral:lncRNA from 1 species